CGCGGCCUAUCAGCUUGUUGGUGAGGUAACGGCUCACCAAGGCAUCGACGGGUAGCUGGUCUGAGAGGACGAUCAGCCACACUGGGACUGAGACACGGCCCAGACUCCUACGGGAGGCAGCAGUAGGGAAUCUUGCGCAAUGGGGGAAACCCUGACGCAGCAACGCCGCGUGUGGGAUGACGGCUUUCGGGUUGUAAACCACUUUCAGUGAUGACGAAAAUGACGGUAAUCACAGAAGAAGGUCCGGCCAACUACGUGCCAGCAGCCGCGGUAACACGUAGGGACCGAGCGUUGUCCGGAUUUAUUGGGCGUAAAGAGCUCGUAGGCGGUUCUGUAAGUCGGAUGUGAAAACUCAGGGCUCAACCCUGAGACGCCAUCUGAUACUGCAGUGACUAGAGUCCGGUAGAGGAAGAUGGAAUUCCUGGUGUAGCGGUGGAAUGCGCAGAUAUCAGGAGGAACACCAAUGGCGAAGGCAGUCUUCUGGGCCGGUACUGACGCUGAGGAGCGAAAGCAUGGGGAGCAAACAGGAUUAGAUACCCUGGUAGUCCAUGCCGUAAACGUUGGGCACUAGGUGUGGGGUCUUCUAACGGAUUCCGUGCCGUAGCUAACGCAUUAAGUGCCCCGCCUGGGGAGUACGG
rnacentral:rRNA from 1 species